GCUAGGGGUAAUACAAACAGGGAUGUUAUAUAUGUCUGUCCAAUCACAGACUUAUCUCCCAAACAGGCUGGAAUUGGGGAAAACCAUAGACAUGGUUAGAGUGAACAAACUGAUUAAGUGAAACAAAGCCAGAUGGGCAGAAAAUUCCUUGUUGGAUCUGGUGGUUGCCUCUUCAGGAGUUGCUAUUUGCUUUUAUUCCGGAAUAUGGCAUUUCCUAGGGUGGGGUAGCUUCAUUUUGUGGUUUGGGGUGGAGUGCAUCGUUUCAGAAGAUGUGACCUCCUUUAGGGUAGAUAUUUCUGUUCAAAUGGGAAGAGCUGCCCAGAUGGGCACUUCUGUGGGCUAAGUGGUGGUGGGCACUGCUCUCUCUGGGAGGCUGGCUGGUCACUACUCUGAGAGCAUGAAUGGAUGCUAUUGUGAGAGCUUUGGAGGAGGGUGGCAGGGAGAUGUGUAAUGUACCACAAGUGGUAGGGCAUCUUCUUUGACUUUAAACAACCAGUAAGAAACCAAAGACAACAUUUGGUACCUAAACAGUUUAAAAUGCAGUAGAAUCUUAAACCAUAUUGUGAUAGAAGCACCCCAAGGCUAUUGUGUUUGGAAUGUACCAUUUACAGGGAAAAUGGAGUACACUAUACUGUGCCUUGACCAGAUACACUUGGAGUACUGUAUUCAGUUGUGGCCAUCACAUUUUAUCAGUCCCUCUUGGCCUAAACAGGAACUUAUUAGGACUGUGGAGGAAUCCCUUGGGACUUAUGCAGAGAAGACACACUUAUCUGUCUCUUACAGACUCAGAGAGAACUGUGCCCAAGAAGAUGGCCUUUGUUGGGGGCUUUUAAUCCAGCUCCUGGGAUGGCAGAAACAAGAAGAAGUCCCAGUCAUCUUCCCACCAAGGGAGUUCCAUCUCUGGUUCCUGAAAUGACUUGUCAGAGUCACUCUUUAUAUAGAAAAUUAUAGUCUGGCAAUUAUCCAGUGACUGAUGAUAUCUGUCUUCCUCUCAAGGUGAUCGCCUGAUGGAGAAACCAAGGCCUAGUGAGAGAAUUGCUUUGUCUAAGGUCACACAUAGAAAUUCAGAACUGGAAAGGAUCUAAUAGGACAUCUACAACUUAGCCAACAAGCUUACAUCCAGCCUCUGUUUGAUGAUGUCCAAAAAGUGGGAUCCCAUAGGCAGCCCAUUGAGUUUUUUGGACAGUUCUCCAGCUGUUGGGAAGUUUUUUCUUCUAUCAAGUUUAAAUCAUCGUCUCUCCAGUUUUCACUAAUUGACUCCUAUUUCUGCCCUCUAGGGCUAAAACAGAAUAUGUCUACUCCCUCUUUUAUGUCACAGCCCUUUGAAUAUUUGAAGAUAGCUAUCAUGUUACACAGCAGCAGAACUGGAACAAGAAUCUAGAUUAGGAGGGACACAUAUAUUUGCAUGUGAUUUACUGGUAAUGAUUUCUUAUGGAGUUUAGCAUCUACGCUUAGGCAAUUUUUAAGUCAACAUAUAUUCACUUUUAGUCAUUGCCUAUUAGGUGAUCUCUUGUUUUUCUCAUUCCUUUUUAUUAACCGUAAGUAGACAAUUCCAAGUCUAUUAGCAUCUUUUGAGACAUAUCUCAUAGAUAUGUUUAUGCACCUGCUUGGUGUAGAGCUGAUUGCUGAAAAGACAAUCUCCAACCAAUUCAUGAGUUUUCCAGACCAUAACUCAUCUUAUACUUCCUUCUCCUUCAUUAUGGAUAUGUAAUACUUGAAAGUUCAAAAAGGACUUUUAUAUUUCCUCCUCUAUUUGAGCCCCAUAACAGUUAGUUCUGUGAGAUAAGGAGAUGGUAUUCAUUUUACAUGGGAGGAGAAACUAAAGUUUAGAGAAGUGACUUAUCUGAAGUCCCACAGAUCAAGACCUCAGCCUUGGGUAAGGGCAUUCCAGAACCAAGUCCAGAACUCUUCUCUCUCCAGUGUGAUGCUUCCAAGUCUCUUGAAUUCAGCAUCAGCUGUUAAUAUUGUCCCUACAAGAGUCAGCUCCAGGACUGAGCCACCAACACAAAUGCCUAUGACCUUGACCUAAAUCAUGCACAAAGAAAAAAAGAAAAAAAAUACCAAGGAAGGAAGCAACUUCCAGUUUUUAAAAAUUGAUUCCUCAAGUUGAUGUCUCACCUUGGAUCUUCUCUCUGUGUCUUGGGCUUGUUCACUUUGAAACCUCCAUCUCACCAACACUGAAGCACAGGACUGGCACGUAGUAAGACCAAGUCUUUGCCUUAGAAGACAGCCAUCUCCUUGAGGGUCACCCACUGCAACGCUUAGAUACUUCCUGCUUUCAGCAGUGGCAAGGAUGGGAUACAUUUGGUCAAUUCCACGUCCUCCAAUCAAGGCAGGGACUCCUUGGGUGAAUCACUCACAGGAAGGCAGCUGCCUCGGGGAGGCUUGCAAAAGAGGGAGGUUCUGAUAAUGAGGGUGAGUGUGGCAAGUCAUUUUCAGAAUUGCUGCUAGAUUAUGUUUUGUUCUGGAGAUAAUUGGGAUUGCAGAAAUGGGACUGACCCUACUUCCUCUGGGCAGGACUCCCCAGCCCUAUAAAGGGGCUCUUGCUGACACUACAGCCAUCCAUCUGCCAUCUGAUACCUCAUCUGUGUUGGAGCAUCUGAUUCACUGAGAUA